rnacentral:rRNA from 1 species
AACGAACGCUGGCGGCAGGCCUAACACAUGCAAGUCGAACGGAACCUUCGGGUUUAGUGGCGCACGGGUGCGUAACGCGUGGGAAUGUACCCUUGGGUACGGAAUAAUGUCUGGAAACGGGCACUAAUACCGUAUAAUGACUCCGGUCCAAAGAUUUAUCGCCCAAGGAUCAGCCCGCGUUAGAUUAGGUAGUUGGUGGGGUAAAAGCCUACCAAGCCGACGAUCUAUAGGGGGUCUGAGAGGAUGAUCCCCCACACUGGGACUGAGACACGGCCCAG